UUGAUGAGCUAAAAAAAUAUACAGAGAAAGAACUAGUAGAUGCCAGGUGUAAACUUGUCCUUUGUUGAUGAGCUAAAAAGCAUUUCUGGUGUAAACUUGAAAUGAGUGUGUUGUUUCGGCUUAGGAAAUUAAUAUUUAAACAAAUCAGUUCUUGGUAAAGCGACACAACUGCAGUGCAAGGUUUAGAAGCAACAGAACUGCAGCAUGUACACUGUGCAGGUUGGUGUCCAAGCAUCGAAAAUGCAAAUGUGUAAUACCAAAGGUAGAAGGUUCCGCAGUUGGUGGAGUACAAGUAUUGGUAUUGUAGAUGGUUAUUGAAUUAACAGUAGCUGCUGCAAUGUCAUUUUUAUCCAGACAGGCCCAUAGGUGUGGAUGAAACAUGACAUGAUGCUGCAUUAUAGAUGUUACUAACUCACGAGUGUUUGCUUGAUCCUAAACAUGGAAA